AUGAUUAGCACAAACAUCUUAGCAUGGAAUGUUCGAGGGCUUAACAACCCUGAUCGUCGUGGGGUGGUCAGAAAUGUUGUACCGUUGCAUAGCCUGACAAUUAUCUGCCUGCAAGAGUCGAAGCUAGCGGUGGUUGACAGUAUGAUCAUUAGUCAAGUCUGUGGUCCAAAGUACACCGAGUUCUUAUUCGAGCCUGCUUUGGGUACUAGAGGUGGUUUAAUUGUUUCUUGGGACCCCGAUGUGGUUGAUAUAAACCUCCUUGCUCAGCAGAAAUCUUUCAUUAUCGUUGAUUGCUGUUGGAGGCUGAUAGAUACUAAGUUCAAAUUAGUCACAGUCUAUGGACCUCAGUCGGAUGCUGACAAGCUAAAUUUCUUAGAUGAUCUGAGACCAUUGUGUCAUUCCAAUCUUCCUUGCAUUUUCAUUGGUGACUUCAAUCUUAUUAAUGAUGCUUCGGACAAGAACAAUAUGAAUAUAAAUCGAAGAAUGAUGGCAGCUUUUAGGAGAUUUAUUAAUGAGCUGGAGCUUAGAGACAUCAGACAUGUACCUCCAUGGCAGAAAGUAUACUUGGACCAACAAACAGCAAAUUGCAACAAAAGUGAAGCUGGACAGGGUGCUCUAUAA
rnacentral:rRNA from 1 species